UGCAGUCGAACGGCAGCACGAGAGAGCUUGCUCUCUUGGUGGCGAGUGGCGGACGGGUGAGGAAUACAUCGGAAUCUACCUUUUGGUGGGGGAUAACGUAGGGAAACUUACGCUAAUACCGCAUACGCCCUUCGGGGGAAAGCCGGGGACCUUCGGGCCUGGCGCUGAUAGAUGAGCCGAUGUCGGAUUAGCUAGUUGGUGAGGUAAUGGCUCACCAAGGCGACGAUCCGUAGCUGGUCUGAGAGGAUGAUCAGCCACACUGGAACUGAGACACGGUCCAGACUCCUACGGGAGGCAGCAGUGGGGAAUAUUGGACAAUGGGCGCAAGCCUGAUCCAGCCAUACCGCGUGGGUGAAGAAGGCCUUCGGGUUGUAAAGCCCUUUUGUUGGGAAAGAAAAGCGAUCGGUUAAUACCCGGUUGUUCUGACGGUACCCAAAGAAUAAGCACCGGCUAACUUCGUGCCAGCAGCCGCGGUAAUACGAAGGGUGCAAGCGUUACUCGGAAUUACUGGGCGUAAAGCGUGCGUAGGUGGUGGUUUAAGUCCGUUGUGAAAGCCCUGGGCUCAACCUGGGAAUUGCAGUGGAUACUGGGUCACUAGAGUGUGGUAGAGGAUAGUGGAAUUUCCGGUGUAGCAGUGAAAUGCGUAGAGAUCGGAAGGAACAUCUGUGGCGAAGGCGACUAUCUGGGCCAACACUGACACUGAGGCACGAAAGCGUGGGGAGCAAACAGGAUUAGAUA
rnacentral:rRNA from 1 species